rnacentral:lncRNA from 1 species
CAGGAGUUAAACUUAGGGAAUGUAGCAGGUAGAGCGUCUGAUGGAAACAUUAAUACAGUGUGAUGAAUAAGCGGCGGAAUGGCAUAAAAGCUGCGCGUGAGACUGCGGAGCGGUGCGAUGUAGCGCCGGGAGCUGUGACUAACGCACGGAACGGAUCCGUGCAGGCAGGGCUGGUGCUUCCAAUUCCUUCGAGUUCGGGAAGCGGAGCGAGCCGCGCUGCUGGGAGGCUGAGAGGCAAGGCGAGGCAACGGAGAAGCUGCUUUUCUUUCUUUCUUUUUUUUUUUUUUUCUCCUUUCCAUUUUUUUUUUCCUCUUUUAAGUGUCCGUUUGCUGAAGACAAGCAAUCUAAAUGUGAAAUAAAACCUACUCACCGGGUGACAUAUCAGGAAGCGAAGCGGCUGUGAGCAAAAUGCAUCCCGAAUCCAAACGUACAGUCCAUAUCUCCGGCUUCAGGCUAGAGGAGGGAUGGGCAUGGUGGUGGGACUUUGGAAACCAUCAGCAGUUCCGUGUGGCACAGCAGCAAGUACAACACCCAUACACACCGAAAGAAUAACAAACGGCGGGAUGCGCACAGCGGGCAGGAACAGAGGGGCUGCGUCGAGCCUGCUCAAAGCACAGUCCAGACCGAGCCGGCAGCGGGAGGCUGCGGAGGGCAGGGACGGCUCGGCGGGGCUCUGGCGGAGGGGCUGCGGAGG